rnacentral:siRNA from 1 species
CCAAUGAGUUUAGGCUUCAUGGGU